CAGCCGCCGCGGUAAUACGAAGGGUGCAAGCGUUAAUCGGAAUUACUGGGCGUAAAGCGUGCGUAGGCGGUGAGUUAAGUCUGCUGUGAAAUCCCCGGGCUCAACCUGGGAAUGGCAGUGGAUACUGGCUCGCUAGAGUGUGUCAGAGGAUGGUGAAAUUCCCGGUGUAGCGGUGAAAUGCGUAGAGAUCGGGAGGAACAUCAGUGGCGAAGGCGGCCAUCUGGGACAACACUGACGCUGAGGCACGAAAGCGUGGGGAGCAAACAGGAUUAGAUACCCCCGUAGUCCCUGUCUCUUAUAC
rnacentral:rRNA from 1 species